UGAAUUAUAUUGAUAACAAUAGAGUCAAAAGCUACGUGGGUUCACAGAUACAAUAGAUUCAUCUUGACUUAAUCAAAGAAAUUAGCUCGACAUAGCAAAUGAAUAAACAACACGAAUAAAAGAAAUUACAAACAUAGAUGUUUUGCUUUUCUUCGAUCCUUGUGCCUUCUAUUUCUUUGUGUAUGCGUAGCUUCCAUUUCCUGGUUCCUACCCUCCAAAACCGUGAUUCCUUUCUGCCGAAACGUGAAUGGCUCUUCUCCUGUACUCUGCGCCCCUUUAUAACAAUUGCCAAUCCUUCUUUUUAUUCUCGGGUCAACCAAGGCAAAUUUGGGUCAAAGGCCCAUUUCAUUAUUU
rnacentral:lncRNA from 1 species